rnacentral:rRNA from 1 species
UACAGAGGUCUCAAGCGUUGUUCGGAUUCAUUGGGCGUAAAGGGUGCGUAGGUGGCGUCGUAAGUCGGGUGUGAAAUUUCGGAGCUUAACUCCGAAACUGCAUUCGAUACUGCCGUGCUUGAGGACUGGAGAGGAGACUGGAAUUUACGGUGUAGCGGUGAAAUGCGUAGAUAUCGUAAGGAAGACCAGUGGCGAAGGCGGGUCUCUGGACAGUUCCCGACGCUGAGGCACGAAGGCCAGGGGAGCAAACGGG